rnacentral:rRNA from 1 species
CCUCGGGUGACAGGGAGACAGGUGGUGCAUGGUUGUCGUCAGCUCGUGUCGUGAGAUGUUGGGUUAAGUCCCGCAACAAGCGCAACCCCUACGUUUAGUUGCUAACGCGUGAAGGCGAGCACUCUAGACGAACUGCCGUUGACAAAACGGAGGAAGGUGGGGAUGACGUCAAAUCAUCAUGCCCCUUAUGUUCUGGGCUACACACGUGCUACAAUGGCCGGUACAGACGGACGCAAAGCCGCGAGGUGGAGCAAAUCCUAAAAAGCCGGUCUCAGUUCGGAUUGCAGGCUGCAAUUCGCCUGCAUGAAGUCGGAAUCGCUAGUAAUCGCAGGUCAGCAUACUGCGGUGAAUAUGUUCCCGGGCCUU